CCUACGGGAGGCUGCAGUGAGGAAUAUUGGUCAAUGGGCGGGAGCCUGAACCAGCCAAGCCGCGUGAGGGAAGAAGGUACAGCGUAUCGUAAACCUCUUUUGUCAGGGAACAAAGGCGGGGACUAGUCCCCGGAUGAGGGUACCUUAAGAAAAAGCAUCGGCUAACUCCGUGCCAGCAGCCGCGGUAAUACGGAGGAUGCGAGCGUUAUCCGGAUUUAUUGGUUUUAAAGGGUGCGUAGGCGGAUUGAUAAGUUAGAGGUGAAAUGUCCGAGCUUAACUCGGGAACUGCCUCUAAUACUGUUGAUCUAGAGAGUAGAUGCGGUAGGCGGAAUGUAUGGUGUAGCGGUGAAAUGCUUAGAUAUUAGGAGGAACACCAGUGGCGAAGGCGUCUUACUGGACCGAAACUGACGUUGAGGCUCGAAAGCGUGGGGAGCAAACAGGAUUAGAUACCCUGGUAGUC
rnacentral:rRNA from 1 species